rnacentral:piRNA from 1 species
GGCAGAUGAUGUCCUUAUCUCACGAU